UACGUAGGGGGCAAGCGAUACUCGGAAUCACUAGGCGUAAAGCGCAGGUAGGCGGUUUGAUAAGUCUGUUGUGAAAGCUCCCGGCUUAACUGGGAGAGGUCAACGGAAACUGUCAGGCUAGAGUGUGGUAGAGGUAGCUGGAAUUCCCGGUGUAGCGGUGAAAUGCGUAGAUAUGUGGAGGAACACCGAUGGCGAAGGCAGCCCCCUGGGUCAACACUGACGCUCAUGCACGAAAGCGUGGGGAGCAAACAGG
rnacentral:rRNA from 1 species